GUUAUGAUCUUAAAAAUAAAAGGAUUUGGCGGUAAUUUAGUCUUUUCAGAGGAACCUGUUUGGUAAUCGAUGAUCCACGUUGGAUUUUACUUUAAUUUUUUGUUUGUAUAUCUCUGUUAUUGAAUGUUUUUUUAGGAUAUUUUCUUUAAGUUAUUAUGUAAAUUAUAUCAGGUCAAGGUGCAGCUAUAUUGAAGUUUAGAAUGGGUUACAUUUAAUGUUAUUUAUUAGUUUUUUUUCUGUAAUUUGAAGUAAAAUAAAAAGGAUUUGAAAGUAAUUUUAAUUAUUUUAUUAAAAUGAUUAUAGCUCUAAAUUAUGUACACAUCGCCUGUCGCUUUCAUUAUUAAGGUGAAACAAAUCGUAACAAAGUAAUUUUACUGGAAAAGA
rnacentral:rRNA from 1 species